rnacentral:rRNA from 1 species
GGCGGCGUGCCUAACACAUGCAAGUCGAGCGGGACGAUACGACGGAGUCAAAGUUUCGGAUGGAGACGAAGAUGUAUGUUCUAGCGGCGGACGGGUGAGUAACGCGUGAGCAACCUGUCCCUUACAGGGGAUAACACAGCGAAAGUUGUACUAAUACCGCAUGAGACCACGGGUAGACAUCUACCAGGGGUCAAAGGAGCAAUCCGGUAAGGGGUGGGCUCGCGUCCGAUUAGAUAGUUGGUGAGGUAACGGCCCACCAAGUCGACGAUCGGUAACCGACCUGAGAGGGUGAUCGGCCACAUUGGGACUGAGACACGGCCCAAACUCCUACGGGAGGCAGCAGUGGGGAAUAUUGGGCAAUGGGGGGAAACCCUGACCCAGCAACGCCGCGUGAGGGAAGAAGGUUUUCGGAUCGUAAACCUCUGUCCUUGGUGAAGAGGAAGAGACGGUAGCCAAGGAGGAAGCCCCGGCUAACUACGUGCCAGCCGCUGC